rnacentral:hammerhead_ribozyme from 1 species
AUUCGGCUGAUGCAUCACAAAUAGGACGAAACACACGUCCUGAAU